UGGAAUAACGAGGAGGUGGUGGGAUAACGAGGAGGUGGAGCAGCAGCUCACUGGGUGCCGCUGGACAAAUCAGGCCAUGCGCUCCUUGUGAAUGCAAAACUCCAAUUGUUUAUUGAUGGAUUGAACCCAGAGCGCCAAGUUGGGCUGCUGCCACAAAGCCGCUGCCUGCUGAUGCUCCUCCGCUCAGUCCUUCAGCUGCAGCUUCUCCAUCAUCUCCACAAGGCUGUUCAUGGUGGAGAACUGGAAAGAAACAAGGCAAGUGUCAAAGCAGCACACCGCUUCCCCCAGUAUUCCACAACCCCCUUCAUGUCUGACAGACAGAGAACAAGAGCCGUGUCUGUGCUCGCCAA